UCACACAUACACAUUUCCUCCGUGCGGCCAGUUUAUCAGCUGUUUGCUUGAGUGAGCUGUACUGGCCGCACGGCACCCUAACUACCAUGGGACACUGUGCGGCCACAGCUCACACAGCCCCCUCCAGCCAGGGCCGGUGCAAGGAUUUUUGCCGCCCUAGGCAAAAGUAAAGUUUGCCGCCCCCUAUGUGACAUCACAAUGCCCCACCCAUAUGAUUUGCCAUGUUAACUAACGCCAGUGCUGCAGUGCCGCUGUGUUUACAUUAAAAGGCCUGCAGGGACAGGCUAUAGACACCAGAACCACUACAUUAAGCUGAAGUGGUUCUGGGGACUAUAGUGUUUCCUUAAUGUGAGGUAAAUUAGAGCUUAGUGCCACGAAUAAUAUACUAGAUUGCCUACUUACAACCAGAUGAGGAUGAUGAUGAGCUCUAGCUGCAGUCUGGCUCCACUGGUCUGGUGCAGAACAGGCUCUCUGGAGGCGGUUUGUAACUGUGGUCACAAAAAUCAAUGUUCUGGGAGAACGGGAAGCAGCUCCAUUUUUUGGGGGUCCUUUACACAGCUCAAGGUCUGGUCCCAGGGUCCACCUUCAUGUUCCACCAAUGAGUUUGUUCACAGGGGGUGGAGUGUGUAGGGGAUGUCCUGAUAUGUGUGUAAGGAAUGCAGUGUGUGAAAUUGUGAUUGUAUGUGUAAGGGCUGCAAGGUGUGUUUCUGUGUAUGUAUGGGAUGCAUUGAAUGUGUGUAAGGGGUGCAUUGAGUGUGUGUAAUGAAUGCAUUGUGUGUUUCUGUGUGUGUAUGGGAUGCAUUGUGUGUAACGGUUGCAUUGCUUGUGUAUGUGUGUCUGUGUGUGUAAUGCAUUGUGUGUUUUUCUGUGUGCAAGGGGUGCAUUGUGUGUAUGUGAUGAAUGUCAAUCUCUCCUCCCGCUCCAAUUUCCUUCUCCUCCUCCCAAUUUCUCUUUCUCACCCCUCCUUAUUUCUUUUUCUCACCCCUCUCUCACCCCCCCUAUUUCUCUUUCUCACCCCCUCCUUUCUCUCUCACCCACCUUCUUUUUCUUUCUCACCCCCCCCCUUUUCUCUCUCUCUCCCACCCCCUUAUUUCUCUCACCCCCCCUUAUUUCUCUCUCACCCCCCCUUAUUUCUCUCUCACCCCCUUAUUUCUCUUUCUCACCCCCCUUAUUUCUUUCUCACCCCCCUUAUUUUCUUUUCUCACCCCUCUCUCUACUUUACUUGUAUUUUUCCUCACCCUCUCUCACCCCUUAUUUCUUAUACCCCUCUGCUUUACUUAUUUCUUUUCUCACCCUCUCACCCCUGUUUCCUGUACUUGGCCGGACUAACAGGAGUGCACUCAGUGUUCCUGUUAGUCGACGUAGAGGCAACUGCUCUCUCUGUACCGUCCGGGACCAUGUGCUGCAGUGGGGGGAGCUGACAGGGCGGCUCCCUCCUGUCAGCCUCUCCUCCAGGCUGGACACGUGGUCGGUCGCCUCAUGGAAGCAGCCGGGCAAAGCUGCAGCCGCCUGAAUUCUAUACAAGCUGGGCGGCAUACCUGGUAUGGAGACAAUACAUAGCACCCCACCCGGCUGGCACCCGGGGCGGACCGCCCCCCCCGCCCCCCCCUUAGUACGCCACUGUCUUUAGAAAGACCAUUUAAUGGCAAGAAAAACAGUAUAUAAUAUGUGUGGGUACAGUAAAUGAGUAAGAGGAAAACGGUAAGAAAAUUGAAAAACGGUCUGGGCACUAAGGGGUUAAUAUGUCGAGGUAGUUAGGCUGAAGCACAGAAUAUAUGAAAACCCACUCUUGUUUAUGUUGAAGCCCAAUGAGUUGCUUCCUUUCCCGUUAGAGUAAUAGUUUUUAGUUUUCAAUUUCCGCCUCUAUAUCGGCACACUAUGCUGGCGCAAGGCAUUACCGGGCUGGUAUAGAAUGUUUUUCCAGGCUGCUUUUUGAGUCGGCACUGCUCCAAACACAAAGAGCAAAUUUAGUUAGUUAAAAUAACAGCAACAACCACAUGGCUUAUUCUAGCCAGAUAAAAAUCUUUCCUUUUAAGAAAUUUAAUCUAAGUGAAUUAAGUCAUUCUGUUGAUGCUGCUAUUUGGAACCCUUUAAAAUAUUUGCAAGACAUUAACUCCAUGCCCUUUAAAGAACUGCUUGUCCAUUGAAUCCUGUUGAUAUCGGUUGAUAUUUUUGUUUUUAGCAAACAGUAUAUUUAAUUUUUUAUCCAGUAGAAUAGUGUGAUAGCAGGACGUGCUAUGAUUUUUAUCUUACAAUGGCUUUAAAUUCAGCCUCAGAUCAUUAUAGUCAUUACUGUGAGAGAGCAUUCUAAAACAAAAAGGGACAUUUAAAUGGACACUUGCAGUUUGCAGCCAAUCAGAAUCCAGCUGGCACUAGAAUCACCAUCGCUGACCAGACAAUAUAGAGUGGAAAAUAAAUGAAUGGCUGCCCCCACCCGGUCUGCUGUUAAUUCCUGCCUCCCCAGGGAAUUAAAAUAAUCUCCAAACACAAUUAUGUUCAGGUUCUGUUAAUUUCUCUGUCUUCAAUUUUGGCAUGAUCUGGCAUCAAUCUACGCAAUUAUUGCAAAUCUUUUAACUUGUUAUUUUGCUAUUUAGAAAGCAGUUUAAUAAUAUAAUAUAAUUAGAUAGGUAGCAUGAAUUUAAAUUACCCAGCAAACAUAAGUAAGUGCAGCCAUAUGGCACCUGAAAUGGACUUAAAUAAAAGCACGGUCCAAUUAGAAACCUAGAACAAUCUGUUUUAUCAAAACUAUAAACUGAAAAUGAAAAAAAUAACAAGUAACUUUAUAUGCAACUUUAUGUGAAAUCUAACUCCCAACUGUUCCCCGACUGCUUGGAAAACCGUCUUAAAGGAACAUUGGGCCAGGCAGUAACCAAUAGUAUUAACCAAUAAAGGGCAGAAUGCUGAGAAUGUGCCAAGUGUGCCUAAUGUGGGCACAGAUCUCCGUCCUCCUGGUGAUUAGAGGGAUUCCAGUUUUAUUGGUUUAGGAAUACAUUUGGCUGUGAAGAGGACCCUAAAAAUGCUUGAAUUGCCCCUCCAGUUUUAAUCCUUAAAACUGGAGUCUUAUCACCCAGCUUUGCACAAGCCGCGUCACUAAGAUGGUAAUUUAAUCGUUGACUGUGCACUGACAGAUUGUGGGUAAAUCCAUGCCCGUGUGGCUCCAUCAUAUACUUGGACAGAAUCUCAUACCGCAGCGCAGCCAGCAUCACGGAUACCUGGGCAUGUCCGAUAGUCCAUGAUUGUCAUUCGCCCACUAUGCCAUAUAGCGGACAGGCUCAUGUUAGGGAACAUGACUGGCGUUUAAUGGGGGGAUUGUCUAUUAGCAGACCGCCCACCAUGUGCAAUGGCCAAGGGGGACACUUUCAUUUUAGGGGGUAUAACUGCAGGGAUGCACAGAGCUGAUUUAUUUAUGACAUGUAAGGUGACUUUGUCACCGGAUGUCAAGUGAUUGAUCUUUGACACACAUUGAUUAGCAAAUGAAGCAACACAUUAUAAAAGUGAACUCAAGCUAUAGGAGAUUUUCUGUUUAUAGGAUAAUUUACAGAGAAGUCAAAGUCCCCAUUUAAAGACACAGUAAUAUGAGUUUUAAUGCUGUGUAGCUCUGCAUUACCCCAUACCUCCCAACAUUUCGAAAAAACAAAGAGGAACACUUUAAAAUACCAAAGAACGGAGGACCGCUAUACAACCCUUAAUGUGCAAUAUUUGUAUAAUCGGUGAAAGGUAAAACAAAAUUAACAGCCAGGUGUAUAUACCUUUAAAUAUAAAAAUAUACACUAGUGUAACACCUUUAAAAAUAUAUGGGUAAAUAAAAUGCUAAUGGAACAUUCACAUAGUCCAGAGCUAAUGAACCUAGUUCAAGUAUGGAGAACCUUUUGGUCAGUUUGGGCGACCACUCACUUCUUCUAUGCAGCAAUUUAAAGGGAUAAUAACCCUUUGCUGUUAGGAUUUCUCAUAAUAAAGGAAAUAUACAACAUAUAUAGAAUGUAUGUGGUAAUUAUUAUACUCAGAACACUGGAGCUUAUAAUCUGGCUCAAUGUGGGAGCUAUGGUGUAGGACCAAACAACCUUCUUUUCCAGCUCAGGAACCCAGAUGAUCAAUAGCAAAAAGUAAAUACUUUAUUCAAAUACUUAAAAACAGUUAAAACAACAAAAAGUGCAGUAUAAAAUACCAAUCAAUGCAGGAGUCCAUAUGAUAGUUCCAGAAACGCGUUUCGCCUUUUUAUGACUUUCACAAUCCUGUAUAUGAGACUCUGGUCUGUUGAUGACCUCUAUUAUCUUCAACUGGAGAGGGUUAGUGUUUCUCCCCUCCCUCUGCAAGGAGCUCUGUAUUCCAAGACUUGUUUUGAACUAGACGUAGCGUCAUUUACAGGUUGCGUUGUUACGUGUCAUUUACCGCUUCAAUCAGCAGGGCUCUUAAUACAGUCAGGGGGUGAGGCAAUGUAACACAGGUAAUGUAUCUUAUUUAUUCAGACUCAUUUCUUAAAGGGAAACUCCAGUGCCAGGAAAUCAAUCUGUUUUCCUGGCACUGCAGGUCCCCUCUCCCUCCCACCUCCCAAUCCCUGGUUGUUGAAGGCAGCGACAUGUCCCACAUAGCUGCUUCUUCCUCCACCGCCGCUCCUCCUCUGAAUUACGUCGGCCGGUGGGCGAGACUGAUCUCGCCCACCGGCCAGGGAGACCUAAUGCGCAUGCGCAGCAAUGCUUUUCAAUGCUUUCCUAUGGAGAAUUGAACGACACUGGAGGUCCUCACACAGAGAAGCAGGAAGUGCCCUCUAGUGGCUGUCUAGUAGUUUAUUUAAAAAAAUUGCAAUAUUUACACUUGCAGGGUUAAGAGUAGUGGGAGUUGGUGCCUGGAGUGUCCCUUUAAGGCAUUUAUUGUAGUUUAAAGACUCAUUACUGGGAGUAUUAUUGAUGUGGAGCUCUGUUAUACACUCAGACACAUUACUGGGAGUAUUAUUGCUGUGGAGCUCUGUUAUACACUCAGACACAUUACUGGGAGUAUUAUUGCUGUGGAGCUCUGUUAUACACUCAGACACAUUACUGGGAGUAUUAUGGGAGUAUUAUCACUGUGGAGCUCUGUUAUACAAUCAGACACAUUACUGGGAGUAUUAUUAAUGUGGAGCUCUGUUAUACACUCAGACACAUUACUGGGAGUAUUAUUGCUGUGGAGCUCUGUUAUACACUCAGACAUUACUGGGAGUAUUAUUACUGUGUGGCUCUGUUAUACACUCAGACACAUUACUGGGAGUAUUAUUGCUGUGGAGCUCUGUUAUACACUAGACACAUUACUGGGAGUAUUAUUGCUGUGGAGCUCUGUUAUACACUCAGAAACAUUACUGGGAGUAUUAUUGCUGUGGAGCUCUGUUAUACACUCAGACACAUUACUGGGAGUAUUAUUGCUGUGGAGCUCUGUUAUACACGCAGACACAUUACUGGGAGUAUUAUUGCUGUGGAGCUCUGUUAUACACUCAGACACAUUACUGGGAGUAUUAUUGCUGUGGAGCUCUGUUAUACGUGCAGACACAUUACUGGGAGUAUUAUUGCUGUGAAGCUCUGUUAUACACUCAGAUACAUUACUGAGAGUAUUAUUACUGUGGAGCUCUGUUAUACGCUCAGAUACAUUACUGGGAGUAUUAUUGCUGUGGAGCUCUGUUAUACGCUCAGACACAUUACUGGGAGUAUUAUUGCUGUGGAGCUCUGUUAUACACUCAGACACAUUACUGGGAGUAUUAUUGCUGUGGAGCUCUGUCAUACACAGACACAUUACUGGGAGUAUUAUUGCUGGGGAGCUAUGUCAUACACACAGACACAUUACUGGGAGUAUUAGUGCCGUGGAGCUCUGUUAUACACUCAGACACAUUACUGGGGGUAUUAUUGCUGUGGAGCUCUGUCACACACACAGACACAUUACUGGGAGUAUUUUUGCUGCGGAGCUCUGUUAUACACUCAGAUACAUUACUGGGAGUAUUAUUGCUGUGGAGCUCAGUUAUUAAAUAUUUGAAAGGGUCUGAUGCAUACAAAUUAUAAUAAAUGGUGAGAGCUCUUCCUGCAGUAAAAUAGUUGCAGUACAGUUGGUGUCCACCCUCCUUGUUCAUUAAGCCCUCCACCCCAUAGCCGGGACAGAGUUUGUCGUCUAAACAGAAAUCCUCAUCAAUUCAUAAAGCUGAGGGGACAUGCGACAGACCUGCCGCACAGAGACUGGGAUGAAAUUGGCUUAGACGCGAACAAGUUAAAAAUAAAACAGCUAACAAUUCCAUGAAACUGAGGAGACUGGCGCGAAAUGUGUGAUUGAUUUAACCAUUUCUUUUCUGGAAAUAUUUGGCACCUCUUACAGUGAAUAUCAGAGAAUAGCAGAAAAUGAAAUGCAUGCUGGAAGCGUUGUGAAUGGCGCUUUGCAGCGUAGAGCGAUAUGUGAAAGCACUGUUCUCUCUGGCAGUACGAGCUUCAAACGAGAAACUCAUUAUUGAAGUAGCAGGCACUGCCGUACACUUGUGCAUGUUUGUAUUGCUUUGUAGUGCACUGUGUAUCGCCUUUGUAGUACGAGCACUUGCUGACAGCGUUCGUUCUGGCUAAAUGAGAGAGGAGUAUACCCGACACAAUGGCUGCCGAACGACUGUACUACGCAAUGGGGAAAUGACAGGCGUGCAAGUGGCUGAUCUGAAGAGCUUGCUAUCAAAUAGUCACAGAACAUAGUAAAGAGUGAUCAUUUAAAGAUAUUCUUGUAGAUUUAAAUGAAAUUCAAUAUUAAACCAGAACGCAUUUACCCAGUGUGUUAGAAUAAAUGUGGGACUACUCUCGAGUCCACAGCAAAGAAGGUAUUUUCUUUUUCAGUAUCCAUAAAAUUUAAAAAGGACAGCCUCAGCAUUAUGUUCUUUUUCAGUGUGUGAUCUACCACAGAACACAUUAUGAAAGACCAAUAUCAAAGACUAUAACCCCAUAGAACACAAGCACAGCUUAGUGGAAAAGGCUAGGAUGUGGGAAUUAGGAGGAAGCUAUGUAGGGAUUGGUGGUUUACAGGGUAAGGGUCUGGGCUAUAUAAAUAGGCAGCCAUCUUAGGAAAUUCACUUUUGACUUGCCUACCUCGCUGAGUUUGUGUGCACCAUGUGUGUACACUUCUUUGGCCUGGUAGGUGUCUCAUUUUGUCUUUACUGCAGGAUGGAUGAGGUGGAGAGGAAGCUGUAGGGGAUCAAGACGGUGGCAAGGGAUCAAGGGGCCGAGUAGAUGCGGGCGCAGCUCACUUUAGUGCUGGCAGUGGUGGAUCAAGAUGGCGGUGGCCAGAGCCACCCUGUGAGGGCCUACACGUCGCCUGUGCCCUGGCCAGGGAUCAGGGGCCAGCAGGCCCAGGGUCUACUAGGUGGCCGGGAAGGACUGUGACCUGGACGGCAGACACCGGGGCUACGCGUUCGAGGCUCCGCAUCUAGCUGUGGUGCCAGAGCCUCGGAGUGUGGCAGUGCGGCAGGAGGCCGCCCACGUAGCUUGCAGUACAGCCUCCGUACCAGAUGGGGCCGCCCUUGGUGGUGGGACCGCCGUGAUCGGUGGUAUGGCCCCAGGACAGGAGCAGGCGGAGGGGCGGUGGGUCCUCCAGGACAGCGAGACAGGCAAGUGUGGAGGCAGGGGGGCUGGGCUGGCUUCUAUCUGGGUCCCUGGAUAGCAGGGGUGGGGCCUUGGGGUUGCAACCUUAGACAGUGGGCCCCCAGGGGACAGUGGGAGGUACCCCUCCAGGUGCUACAGGUGUGGGGUCCAACAUCCCGGUGGGUCCUGAUGUACGGCAGGGGGGUUCUGCCAGAAGUUGGAAGGGAACAGCUGAAGGGGGUCGGCAAGGCUGGGCGCUGGGGGAUGGAGCCCCUUUGGUGCAGCGGAUAAGGGUAUUGGGCAGCGUUAUGCAGCCCAUGUCGGGGGACAUAGUGGAGCUGGCAUGCAGGCAGGUCAGUCAGACACACUACAUCCCCAGCACACACACAGACACACACUUCAUCCCCAGCACACCCACAUAAAGACACUACAAUUGUAGAAGCAUAUAUGUUGGUUUUUUUUGGGGGGGGCAGCAUUUCAUACUUGGAUCCCGGCCCUGUUUGUGUGUGUGUGUGUGUGUCGGUAUGUAUUUGUGUUGUCAGUGUGUGGCAAACCUAGGCACCUAAGACUAUUUUUUCUUUAUAUCUGAGGGUUGCCCUAGAGAGACUGGUUUAUAUAUGGUGUUUGAUGUGUUUGCUUAAAAUGUGAAAGAGGGAAUUCGUAUGCUAGUGGCACGAAAGCCGCUAGCAUUCAAAUGGUAGUUUCACGAACAGUGAUUUUCAAGUACCGAAUGGGAGCCCACACACAGGGGGUCAUGUCACUCCCAUUAACUGAUUGCAACAAUGUAUCUAUCGGCUGUUAAUUGAUUCCCAGGGUUGCCGUCGUUUGGCAAACCGGUGUUUGGUUGUUGAGUGCCUGGAACUAAAAUCAGCUACUCAACGGCACGAACACUGCUGGACUUCCAGGCCGUUCGGGAGCACCGGUCUUUCAGUACUUUUCCCCACUUAUGCAUUCGUGACUUUUAUGAAGAGUUGAUGUUACAAUGUAUUUUGUGCGGCGUUCAGUUAAUUGUGCUGGGAUCUGAGCGGUACUUUCACGAAGUAUGCGCUCAGACCCCAGCUAUCUGCCGAUCGGUCAUUCGGUACAAUGGCACGAAUAUUAUACCAUUUACAAAUUUUUAUGUGAAAAGCCAGUUCUGCUGUAUGGAGGGAUAAUCCACUUAGCAGGAUAUUCUUGUGGGAGUAUCCCUCUUGUACAGCGUGAUUGAUUUAACCAUUUCUUUUACAAGGGCAGGUCUAACAUUCAGUGCUAUACCUGAUACAAGGGCAGGUCUAACAUUCAGUGCUAUACCUGCAAACAAUGGGGCCACAUGGCGAGAGAGUGCACUCAGAACCGGAGUCGUCAUGGUGGGUGAAAUGUCCUGUAUGUUAAGUCCCCCAUGUAGUCCCCUACUGUAUAACUCCUGUAAAGUAAUUAAGGAAACCCCUUGCAUGGGGAAUCGCAUAAAUACUGGAGCUUGUGAAUAAAAACCUCAGUUGACUCCCAGAACUGUGUUUCAUCCGGUUACUGGGGGGAUUUGGGAUAUUGGCUUCAUUUUCAGGGCUUUCCUUGGAUUACCUUCAGAGAUUACCAGCAGAGAUAUUGGUAUUUAAUAUUGCAGCUCUGCUACAAUUGGUGUCAAGCGACGGGAUCCAACCUUAUAGCCGAAAAGCGUGGUUCGUGCAAUUGAAACUGCCAAACAGGAAAGUGAAUGGCAAUUCGUGUGCAACAAAGAAACGAACGCAGAGGUGAAUGGAGACAGAUUAUACUACAUUGAAAUGGCAAACACUGAAAGAGCUAUUGGAAGCCAGGGGUAUGAUAGCCAGCAAUAAGUCGAAGGCUGUACUUAUUGCCGAACUGAUGGAGGGAGACAGAGCCCGCAGUGCUACUCCUACACCCGACAUGGAAGAGACCCCAUUCCAGAAAGAGAUGAGAACCAGGCUGGAAUUCCUACCCCAGCCAGUACCUCUGGAAAUGCUGACGGUACUGAUGGCGGAUGUGCAGGAGUAUGUGAUGGCACACAGACCACAGGAUUUACCCUCCAGGGCAGAAUCUAUUGCUGCUUCAAUCACCAGCCAGGUAAAGCCAAAGAUACCGCACCAUGCUUUUAAAAUAUUUUGUGAAGAGAAAGAUGUGAUUGAAGAGUACCUACAGGAUUUUGAAAGACUGUGUGACCUGCAUGAUCUGAAGCAGGCAGUGUGGGUACCCUUACUGGUGGGCAAAUUAUCUGGUCGGGCAGAAGAAGCAUACCGAGCCGUGCCCAGAGAUGACAGUAAAAUUAUGCCAAGGUGAAACAAGCUAUAUUGGAGAGAUAUGUCAUUACCCCGGAGGCACACAGGCGCAAGUUUAGAGGACUGCGCAAACCAGAUAAAGAUUCCCACGCAGAAUGGGCACACAAGCUUGAUCAAGUCUCCCAGGGGUGGAUACAAGCCAGUCAAGCUACCACCAUGGAGGAGCUAUGCCAGCUGCUAUUGUUGGAGCAGUUUUUCAAUGGGCUGACACCAGAGGCACAAGAAUGGGUAAGAGACAGAAAACCCCUCACCCUAACAGAAGCCGCACAGCUGGCAGACCAGCACUAUGAUUCUAGGAGGCUUCAUGGCAACCUGAACCGAGGGUAUACUCGACCCACCACCCGGCCACCUACAGCUACUACUACCGCACCCACAACAGCACCAUUCUGACCAGCAACUGUGGGGCAAAUCCCACUGUCCUAAUACAAGGGCAGGUCUAACAUUCAGUGCUAUACCUGCAAACAAUGGGCCUACAUGGCAAGAGAGUGCACUCAGAACUGGAGUCGUCAAGCCUGGAGCCAAGUAAGACCAAACCCAGCACCAUGAGCAGCCACACACUACUACCAGGCAGAGCCAGCUGUACGGAGGGAUAAUCCACUUAGCAGGAUAUUCUUGUGGGAGUAUCCCUCUCGUACAGCAGUGCAUGAUGGGAGAAAUGUCCUGUAUGUUAAGUCCCCCAUGUAGUCCCCUACUGUAUAACCCAUGUAAAGUGACUAAGGAAACCCCUUGCAUGGGGAAUUGCAUAAAUACUGGAGCUUGUGAAUAAAAACCUCAGUUGACUCCCAGAACUGUGUUUCGUCCGGUUACUGGGGGGGAUUUGGGAUUGUAGCGGAACCAGCCUCUCCACUGGGCAUUGGAGAAGACUGAUUGCCAGCCUCCUGCCCUGUGACUAUGGCCCCAUGUUGAAAUGCUGGAUUUUCCCCUUGCAAAAACCCGAAAGCCGGGUCAUUCGGUACUUUCCCUAUGUGAGCAGUGUUACAUCAGAUAGCUAUGCCAUGGAGCCCAUUCGUAUAACGAAAGACUAUGUGAAAGAUUUUGGCUCCAUGGCAAUUGAACUGUAUGUAUGUGAUCUGAGUGCCAUUCAGUAAUAAUUUGCGCUCAGAUCUAAGCUAUCUGGGGAUAUGUUGAAUGUACCCGUUUUAUGCAAUUGCUGCACAGUUAUAUAUUUUUAGGUAUUUUAUUGUAUUUUGCUACCAUGUGGCUAAUCGAGUUUUGCCUCUGUCCUUGGAGAUAAUUGGAUUACUUCCCAAAUAUCUCCAGGAUAGAAGACUCUGUGGAACUGGUUUUGGCCAGAAAAACCAUGCUUCAUUUUGUCAAAUAGGACUUUCCCUUAAUUUUUUAACCCCUGAACCGAUUGCCCUGAUUUUUGAGUAUGUGUAUAUUUCAAGCAUGCGGAUUCUGAAAAUUUAUGUUUUAUGUGAAUGGCAUGUAUAUUUUGGAAGUUAUUAAUAUUUUGUAAAAAACUGUAUUUCUCUGCCUGCGAUAAUUAUAUUACCCAUUGUGUUCAGUAAUCAUAUGACAGGCAGAGGGGAGGAUUUUGUGUGGGAGUGUCUGUGUGUAUUGUACGGAUUGAUUGGUUGUAUUUCAAAACCCUGUGGGCAGUACUAUAUUUGUGGAUUGUGAAUAAAAGAGGCUGUAUGUGCCAGUCCAGUCAGUUCUGCUUGACCUCAAAACGAAGUGUCGUCUCGUUAUUGGGGGAAUUGGAUUGUAUGCUGAUUGCCAGGAGUGUAAGCUGAUUGUAUGCUUUUCCUGUUCAGCUGUUUACAGCAUUCACAUGCUUGAGAGCAUUCAUAUGCUUCUCCGGUUUGGUGGUUGUGGUGUCUGCUGCAGUGCUUGGAGUCCUCAGGAAGCACUAGGAGCAUCCUUCAAGGGAGGUACCCANNNNNNNNNNNNNNNNNNNNNNNNNNNNNNNNNNNNNNNNNNNNNNNNNNNNNNNNNNNNNNNNNNNNNNNNNNNNNNNNNNNNNNNNNNNNNNNNNNNNGUGCUUGGCACCCCCCACACCCCCCUCCAUAAAAAAAAAAAAAAAAAAAACCUGUAAAAAAUGUUAAAGGUUUUAUUUCUUUUAUUUUUACAAUUUCUAAACUUUGCAAAACCGCUGUCAGCCCCUCCUGCCCUGCCCCUCCUACAAAACCUCUGUCCUGCCCCUUCUACAAAUCCUGUACUGCCCUAUCUACAAAACCCCCGCAACCCCCUUCCACAAAUCCCCUGCUUAUCCCCCCUUAUAAAGACUCCUGUCCCAAUACAAAACCCCCACCCCCUUCUACAAAAUCCCUGCAGCCCCACACACACAUUUACAGGCAGACAGUCACACACUCAGUAGACAGUCACACACAGUUACAGGCAGACAGUCACACACAGUCACAGGCAGACAGUCACACAUACACAUUUCCUCCGUGCGGCCAGUUUAUCAGCUGUUUGCUUGAGUGAGCUGUACUGGCCGCACGGCACCCUAACUACCAUGGGACACUGUGCGGCCACAGCUCACACAGCCCCCUCCAGCCAGGGCCGGUACAAGGAUUUUUGCCGCCCAAGGCAAAAGUAAAGUUUGCCG
rnacentral:lncRNA from 1 species